UGGGGUUGUGGCUUAGUGGUAGAGUUCUUGCCUAGCAUGCAUAAAGCCCUGGGUUCAAUCUCCACCACUAA
rnacentral:tRNA from 1 species